CCUACGGGAGGCAGCAGUGGGGAAUAUUGCACAAUGGGCGCAAGCCUGAUGCAGCGACGCCGCGUGAGGGAUGAAGGCCUUCGGGUUGUAAACCUCUUUCAGUAGGGAAGAAGCGAAAGUGACGGUACCUGCAGAAGAAGCGCCGGCUAACUACGUGCCAGCAGCCGCGGUAAUACGUAGGGCGCAAGCGUUAUCCGGAAUUAUUGGGCGUAAAGAGCUCGUAGGCGGUUUGUCGCGUCUGCCGUGAAAGUCCGGGGCUUAACCCCGGAUCUGCGGUGGGUACGGGCAGACUUGAGUGAUGUAGGGGAGACUGGAAUUCCUGGUGUAGCGGUGAAAUGCGCAGAUAUCAGGAGGAACACCGAUGGCGAAGGCAGGUCUCUGGGCAUUAACUGACGCUGAGGAGCGAAAGCAUGGGGAGCGAACAGGAUUAGAUACCCUGGUAGUCCAUGCCGUAAACGUUGGGCACUAGGUGUGGGGGACAUUCCACGUUUUCCGCGCCGUAGCUAACGCAUUAAGUGCCCCGCCUGGGGAGUACGG
rnacentral:rRNA from 1 species